GACGAACGCUGGCGGCGUGCUUAACACAUGCGAGUCGAACGGAAAGGCCCUGCUUUUGUGGGGUGCUCGAGUGGCGAACGGGUGAGUAACACGUGAGUAACCUGCCCUUGACUUUGGGAUAACUUCAGGAAACUGGGGCUAAUACCGGAUAGGAGCUCCUGCUGCAUGGUGGGGGUUGGAAGGUUUCGGCGGUUGGGGAUGGACUCGCGGCUUAUCGGCUUGUUGGUGGGGUAGUGGCUUACCAAGGCUUUGACGGGUAGCCGGCCUGAGAGGGUGACCGGCCACAUUGGGACUGAGAUACGGCCCAGACUCCUACGGGAGGCAGCAGUGGGGAAUAUUGCACAAUGGGCGGAAGCCUGAUGCAGCAACGCCGCGUGCGGGAUGACGGCCUUCGGGUUGUAAACCGCUUUCGCCUGUGACGAAGCGUGAGUGACGGUAAUGGGUAAAGAAGCACCGGCUAACUACGUG
rnacentral:rRNA from 1 species